AACCCGGACUGUAAAAUACAGAUUCUGGGGCUGUAUCGUGUCGGUCUCACAGAUUCUGGAGCCGAGGAUCUCGCCACCACUCUCAGUACAAACCCCUCACUGACGGAGCUGUUCCUGUCAGACAACUCCCUCACAGACCGAUGUGUCCCCGCUCUCCGCCGCCUCAUACUGACCCUCCCGAGACUAGAGCUGAUCGGGCUGCUGGGGAAUAAGUUCAGUCCGACCGGGAAGAAGGAACUGAGGUCGCUGCAGGAACCCAGACCCGGACUGAGAGUGGACGUGUGAACAACUCUGUGUGUAAACGUCACCGCCCUGGGGACCGGAAUAUUGGUGGCCGAUUCCCCGCCCUCCCCUUUAAGCGGCCGCCCUCCCCUUUAAACGGCCGCCCUCCCCUUUAAACGGCCGCCCUCCCCUUUAAACGGCCGCCCUCCCCAUUAAACCCCAACGCUUCCCGGGCCGGCCGGGCGGUGACAUCAGAGGCGGCCCUGCCCGCUGUCACGUGACCCGGGUACGUGGCGCUGCUGAUGAUGCCGGAUAUCCGGUGCUGCCCUCCAGUGGGGGACGGAGGAAUUGCAGCGGAACCUGCAGGAUUACAGAAGUGAUUUUA